rnacentral:rRNA from 1 species
AUUGAACGCUAGCGGCAGGCUUAACACAUGCAAGUCGAGCGAGCGGCGGACGGGUGAGUAAUGUAUGGGACCGUGCCCAAUGGCGGGGGAUAACUACUGGAAAAGGUAGCUAAUACCGCAUACCAUCAGAGGGGCCGAGAUGGGAUGAGCUAGUUGGUGGGGUAAAGGCUCACCGAGGCGACGAUCCGUAGCUGGUCUGAGAGGAUGACGAGCCACACUGGAACUGAGACACGGUCCAGACUCCUACGGGAGGCAGCAGUGGGGAAUUUUGCACAAUGGGCUCAAGCCUGAUGCAGCCAUGCCGCGUGUGUGAUGAAGGCCUUCGGGUUGUAAAGCACUUUCAGCGGGGAGGCGUUACUCGCAGAAGAAGCACCGGCUAACUCCGUGCCAGCAGCCGCGGUAAUUC